rnacentral:rRNA from 1 species
AGGAAAAGAAACUAACAAGGAUUCCCCUAGUAACUGCGAGUGAAGCGGGAAGAGCUCAAAUUUAAAAUCUGGUGUGCCUCUGGCCGCCCGAGUUGUAGUCUGGAGAAGCAUUUUCCGUGUUGGACCGUGUACAAGUCCCUUGGAACAGGGCGUCAUAGAGGGUGAGAAUCCCGUCUUUGACACGGACUACCAAUGCUUUGUGAUGUGCUCUCAAAGAGUCGAGUUGUUUGGGAAUGCAGCUCAAAAUGGGUGGUAAAUUCCAUCUAAAGCUAAAUAUAGGCGAGAGACCGAUAGCGAACAAGUACCGUGAGGGAAAGAUGAAAAGCACUUUGGAAAGAGAGUUAAACAGUACGUGAAAUUGCUGAAAGGGAAACGCUUGAAGUCAGUCACGUCUGCCAGGACUCAGCCUUGCUUCUGCUUGGUGUACUUUCUGGUUCGAUGGGCCAACAUCAAUUUUGACCGUUGGAGAAAGGCCUUGGGAAUGUGGCACCUUAGGGUGUGUUAUAGCCCUUUGUCGUAUGCAACGGUUGGGAUUGAGGACCGCAGCACGCCUUCAUGGCCGGGGUUCGCCCACGUACGUGCUUAGGAUGUUGGCAUAAUGGCUUUAAGCGACCCGU